rnacentral:snRNA from 1 species
ACUCAUACCUGGCAGGGAGAUACCAUGAUCAUCAAAGUGCUUUUCCCAGGGUGAGGCUCAUCUAUUGCACUUUGGAUGUGCUGACCCCUGUGAUUUCCCCAAAUAUGGGAAAAUCCUAGAAAGCC